rnacentral:tRNA from 1 species
GGGCUGUUGGUGCAACGGCUAGCAUGUGAAGCUCCAACCUUCAAGAUGUGGGUUCGAAUCCUACACGGCCCG